CUGGCAGGUUGGUUCUGAGCAGCCAGGUGGGUCCUCAGGCCGGGGGCUUGCCCCACAGCCCAUCCAGGGAUGUGCCCAGGCACAAGGUCAUCCUCACCCAGGCCUCACGUGGCGAGAUGAGAAUAGGGCAUGUGCUCGCGGCUGAGCCCUGCCUCUGCUUGAACAGCUGAUCCCCAGCAGAGACACAGUGGGGGCCCAAAGGAGCCCACCUCGCCCUGUCUUGUUACACUUUCUGUCCUGAAGCCAUGUCCGCAGUACCACCUGCCAUCGUGUCUUAGUAAACAGCCUCUCCCUCGGCCAGGAGCACAGUCGUCCUGUCUCUUCCUGUAAGGCCUCUCUGACAUCAGCCAGGGGGAGAGCCAGGCCCCCUGGAACCCCCAAGCUGCACACGCCUCUCCCCUCACAAGGAGCCAAGCCAGCCCCCAACUCCUGGCCAGAGCCGGCCAAUGUCCUCAUCACGUGGUGUAGUGUCCCCUGCCCCUCCAGGAGCUGUGGUUCCGAGCAGCUCAUUUUCAGAAGGGUGGCGGUUCCGAAACCGAUGGCAGUCACUUACGGAGAAUCGACGUUUAAGCAGAGAGGAAUCCCUAGACUCACCCUGGGAGGUCUGGCCACCUCUUGGGCGUCAGAAGCGCGUGCCAGGCAGCGGGCAGGACCAGCAGUCGGAGGGCCGAGUCUGCGGGCCCUCGCUCCCCGCCACAGGCACACGCGGUGGGCAGCGAGCCCGCUGGCCGCCAGAACCUGUUUCUUGCCUCCCACCAGCAACCCCCACGCCACCCUGGGCCCAGGCACAAAGCAUACGUCUCAGGGGACCACUCCCACGUUCCGGGAGUCCCGAGGAAGCCUCCACGGCCUCUUGCACCUGCCCGUAGGGCGCUCCCCGGGCAUCAGCCCCAGAGAGGCUUGCAGUCC
rnacentral:lncRNA from 1 species